rnacentral:rRNA from 1 species
AACGCGAAGAACCUUACCUGGGUUUGACAUACACCCUGCCGCUCCAGAGAUGGGGCUUCUUUUGGGGGUGUACAGGUGGUGCAUGGCUGUCGUCAGCUCGUGUCGUGAGAUGUUGGGUUAAGUCCCGCAACGAGCGCAACCCUCGUUCUAUGUUGCCAGCACGUCCUUCGGGAUGGUGGGGACUCAUAGGAGACUGCCGGGGUCAACUCGGAGGAAGGUGGGGAUGACGUCAAGUCAUCAUGCCCCUUAUGUCCAGGGCUUCACGCAUGCUACAAUGGCCGGUACAAAGGGCUGCGAUCCCGUAAGGGGGAGCGAAUCCCAAAAAGCCGGUCUCAGUUCGGAUUGGGGUCUGCAACUCGACCCCAUGAAGUCGGAGUCGCUAGUAAUCGCAGAUCAGCAACGCUGCGGUGAAUACGUUCCCGGGCCUUGUACACACCG